GAGAAUGUGAAUCAACCACCUGGCCCUGCUGCUCUGGGUUUUCCUUCCAGAGAUGAGUAGUUGGUUCCUGCAGGUCAGUGACGUAACGGAUAACAUGCAGCUGCAGGCGUGGAGAGAUUUGGACUGCUUGGGUGCACAGAAGAGGGCCUGAGAACCCCUGGAACUGCAGUCGCAGGCGAUUGUAAGCGGUCAUGUGGGUGGGUGCUGGGAACCAAACCCCUGUUCUCUAGAAGGGCAGCAAGUGCUCCUCAUCACCAAUCCAUCGCCAGUGCCAACUCUGUACCCCAACCCUAAUGCCAGCAGGUUGAUAUUUGGAAGUGUCAUGGCAAUUUGUGAUGUCUCCAGCAGUGCCAGCCUGUGAUUUCCUUGCCCACACUGGGCGUUUCUCUCAGCUUCCAGCUCCCUCAGCAGUAAACUGUUCAUUUUUCACUCGCAGGCCUUUGAUUGGCAAGAUGUGUUUUAAUCUACUGUGAUGGUUUGGUUGCCGUCAGUGUUGUUUUCCACCUUUGAGCCAUGUGUUACAUGCGUCAAGUGAGAGGCUUGUGGGUGGCGGAAAGCUCCCCACGUGUACACGGUGGGCUGUAUAGUGUCCUCUGAGUGCCACUGAGUGGGAAUUAGAGCUGCCUCAUUAGUGGGAAUAAAGGCUGGAAGCAAGUGCUGUGGGCUUGUCUGAAGUCUCCAGAGUCCUCUGUGAUUUCUGUGGCAUCAUCCACUUUCAACUGUUUUGUGAAUUCAGUUGAAAUUUGAUCCAUUACAGUAUGACCAAGGGCCUAAUUAGCUGGAAACCUCAGGAAAUUCAUAAAUUAAAGAGCCCAUUAGUCACAGUGCCCUCCCCUUGUGAGUGACUCUCACCCCCUUCAUUUUGCCUGACUCUCCUGCCACACGUUAGUUCCAACAAGACUUGGCUAGACUGGCCGCCUUUCUGAUGUGCUUCCUGCCUUGCUGGGAUGGGGAAGGGUUAAAAAGCCAGGCUUAGUUCCUGUCCAGCUCUUGGGCUCCAUCCCAUCCCUCAGCCUAUACCUCACCAGUCUCCAGGUACUUAGGCUGAAUGCUGGUGGCAGUCCUGGAGAGGGCCCUGUUGGCACGAGUGUGGCAGCCCUCCACAGUGCCUCUCUGUCCCAUGGCCUGGAGGAAGGGUGCCACGUGCCAGUGUACCCACUGCUGAAGUCGUGCUGAGGCUCCGCCUUGGCGGCCUUCCUUCUCCCAGUAGGAUUUCUGUGGUUUUGUCUUGGCUCGUGGAUUCCCCGGAUCUGAGUGGUUGUGGCCACAGAUUCCUCUCUUCCCUUUCCCCAAAUAGACCACGUGCAUCUACCAAGUGGAACAGUCUGAGGGUUCACGUGGCCAGACAGUCCAAAACGAACUCUGCACAAGAGUCUUGUAGGAGGGAGGGGUGGUUCUGCAGCCUGGCCGUGGAGUGGAUUUGUAGAUUAAGAGUACCUGUGGUAAAGAACCUAAGACAAGAGUUUUAAUAACCUCCCUCCCCCUUCCCUCUCUCCCGCCCUUUCUUCCUGGGAUCGAACCCAGGGCCUUGUGCUAGGCAGGUACUCUACCACUGAGCUAUGAGGCCACUGUUGUUGGGAAGAUAUUUCUGCAUGCCAAUCUGUAUGAAACCAGAGAGGUGGUGUUUUAGGUUUGUUUUUGUUUUUAAGUUCCAAGUAGAACAGCUGGCCAUGCCUUGGUUUUACAUCUGGUCUUCUGAGGGUUUUAUUAAUAUCCAGAGAGUUCGUGUUUUGUUUUUAACAUGCAUUUGGGGCUGGAAAGAUGAUUCAGUGGGUAGAGGAGAGGCACUUGCUGAGCAAGCCCUACCACGUAAAGAUCCAUUCCCAGAACCCAUGUAAGGGUCAGGGGAGAGAACGGGUACCGAAGAGUUGCCCUCUGACCUCUGUGUGUACACCCCCACACACAAUAAAUCGAGCAACACUAAUGACAUCACGCAGUGUUAGCUCUUAAGUGCGAAGACCUCUGGAGAUGGCACCAUCAGCCAUCAGGUCUGCUACUGUGUCUAUCCAUUUCCUGCUUUUAGCUGGGGUGAACUAGGUUCCUUUUCCUGAAGAUGAGAACUAUCUAGUGUGAUACCUUGGGUAUUAAAGAAAAUUGUUGGUGAGCUGUCGCUUCUGUCCUUCUGUUUUGGGCAUUGCAAGAGCUCAGGUGUCG